rnacentral:rRNA from 1 species
CGAUCGCGUAUAUAAAAAUUGUUAAAAAGCUCGUAGUUAGAUUUCUGCUGAGGACGAUCGGUCCGCCCACUGGGUGAGUAUCUGGCUCGGCCUUGGCAUCUUCUUGGAGAACGUUGCUGCACUUGACUGUGUGGUGCGGUAUCCAGGACUUUAAAUCUGAGGAAAUUAAAAUGUUUCAAGCAGGCGCACGCCUUGAAUACAUCAGCAUGGAAUAACAAGAUAGGACCUUGGUCAUAUCUUGUUGGUUUCUAAAGCUGAGGUAAUGAUUCAUAGGGAUAGUUGAUGGCAUUUGUAUUAAAUUGUCAGAAAUGAAAUUCUUGGAUUUGAUAAAGACGGACUACUGCGAAAGCAUUUGCCAAGGAUGCUUUCAUUG